GUAACACGUGGCCAAACUACCCUCUGGACGGGAAUACCCUCGGGAAACUGAGGCUAAUACCCGAUACUACUCCUGCCCUGGAAUGGGCGGAGAGCCAAACGCCCCGGCGCCAGAGGCUGUGGCUGCGGCCGAUUAGGUAGACGGUGGGGUAACGGCCCACCGUGCCAGUAAUCGGUACGGGUUGUGAGAGCAAGAGCCCGGAGACGGUAUCUGAGACAAGAUACCGGGCCCUACGGGGCGCAGCAGGCGCGAAACCUUUACACUGCACGCCAGUGCGAUAAGGGGAUCCCCAGUGCGAGGGCAUACAGUCCUCGCUUUUCACCACCGUACGAUGGUGGUGGAACAAGAGCUGGGCAAGACCGGUGCCAGCCGCCGCGGUAAUACCGGCAGCUCGAGUGAUGGCCGUUCUUAUUGGGCCUAAAGCGUCCGUAGCCGGCCACGCAAGUUCGUCGGGAAAUCCACAUGCUCAACAUGUGGGCGUCCGGCGAAACCUGCGUGGCUUGGGACCGGACGACCCGAGGGGUACGGCCGGGGUAGGAGUGAAAUCCUGUAAUCCCGGCCGGACCACCGGUGGCGAAAGCGCCUCGGGAGGACGGAUCCGACGGUGAGGGACGAAAGCCAGGGUCACGAACCGGAUUAGAUACCCGGGUAGUCCUGGCCGUAAACGAUGCCCGUUAGGUGUGGCGUAGGCUACGA
rnacentral:rRNA from 1 species